CGCUUCUCCUUUCCUAGAGGCUGGAUAGGAUACUUGGCAGAAUUCAGUAGGAAGGGGAGUGGAGGCUGUUUGCAAAUUAAACCGGAAACAAAGAUGCCAAACAGUCCAUUUAAAGGGCCCUUGAAGCUCUCACCUGAGAUGCCUGUUAUACGUUCCUCCUCCAGCUUUGCUGAAGGACGAUGUUUUAAGCAGCUCUUCCUCCUAAAGAAGUUAUCAGCUUGGGUUUAAAUUACCUCUUGGGAGGUAAAUCCUCAACUAGAGGCAACCCUGAAUCAUCGGAACAUGUUGGGGUCAGACACCUUCAGAUAAGCAUCAGUGCAACAACAAGAGAGCUUUCUUACAGCAAAAUGGAAAUUUAGACCAAGAGACACAAAGUACCGGGAAAAAACAGAAGAAACCUGGUGUGCCUCAGAUUCUUCCCUCUACCAAGAGUCAGGCAUUGGAACCCACAACCAUUCCUGCCUUUAACAAGGCGAAAAUCAGACUAUGAAGCUGGACCAAAGGACAUAGGCAGAAGGAACUGGCUGUCAGUUUCUUACUUGGGACUUUGCCUUAUAAAUCUAGCCGUCUUGGUAUCCUCGGACUUUGAUGUUGUUCUCUUCACCUCAGUAGGAGUGUCAGGUUCCUUGGGUUCCCUUUCCCCUGCAGUAUGGCCUGAAGUUGGCUCUAAACGUUUCUUUUGCAAAAGAAGAGGACGCUACACGGUUUGAUUUCUCUUGUUUAGAGCUUUGUCAGCAUUGUUUGUUCCACUUCAAGAAGACAUUUUCAGAAGUUGUGAAAAUC
rnacentral:lncRNA from 1 species